GAUGAAGAACGCAGCGAAAUGCGAUAGGUAGUGUGAAUUGCAGAUGUAACGUGAAUCAUCGAAUCUUUGAACGCAAAUUGCACUCUCUGGUAUUCCGGGGAGUAUGCCUGUUUGAGGGUCGCCAAAUCAACAUCGAAAUUCAUUUGCUUUUGUAAAUGUUUAUCGGAUUUGAGCCGUCUUUUAUUUUUUUUAAUUAAAGUGGCUUAAAAUGUAUUUUUUGGUAUCGAAAAACGUUAUUUUACGAUCAAAUUGAUUAAUAAAAAACAAACGUUUCGAAAUGCCAUCUUUAAUGUAAUACGUUUGAUUGUGGUGUUCAUCAUGGUUUCAUUCGUAUACGAUUUUUUUAAUUUUUGACCUCAAAUCAGGUAAGAACACCCGCUGAACUUAAGCAUAUCAAUAAGCGGAGGA
rnacentral:misc_RNA from 1 species